UAAUGACCCAUUUUUCAUCCCAUUUCUCUUUUUGGAAAUUGAUAGAAGGAUCGAGAGAGAGAGAGAGAGACAAAGAGAACGAGAGAGAAAUAAAAAAAAAUGAAGGAGGAAUAGGUGUUGGCUUUUCAAUUUCCAUUCUUUACUUCUCCUUAUUUUCAAGAGGUAAGUAAAAAUUAUGUAAUUGAAUUUUUAGGGUUCAUGGAAAAGUACUCAAAAUUGGAAAUUUAGCUAGAAUUAAUUAAUUUUAUACACACACACACACACACACACACACACACACAUAUAUAUAUAUAUAUAUAUAUAUAUAUAUAUAUAUAUAUGGGUUUGUAAUUUAUUGCGUGAAUAUGAUAUAAAACACCUUAUUUGUAGUUUAUUAUAGUGAGAUAUGAAGUUAAGGUUAGAUUUUGGUAUUUAUAAGGAAUUUUCGUGCAAAAUUCUAGCUCUGAAAUUCUGCCCAGAAAAGUGCUAUUUCUGUCAAGGGUUUUGAUGCCAAAUUUCAAUAUACAGAAAUUGGUGCCUGACUUUUUAUAUUCUGGAAUUUUAGUGCUGUUUUUGUCAAAACUUGGAUUUCCAGAUUUUUAAAGUUUUGAAUGAAUUUAUAUGAUAAAUAUUGAAGCCUAUGUAUUUGACUAACUAUGCAUAGGGGUUGUAUAUGUAUUAAAGUAGUGAUUUUAAGGAAGUGUGAGUGGUGUAAUGGAUUUGAUAAUGUAUGGUGACUAGUUGAUAAAUCAUUAAAGAGAAAAAAAAGUUGGAGAAUUGGAGAUGUAAGAGUAAGUAUAGAAGUUGAGAAGCUAAGUGAUGGAUUUAUAUUAAUUUAAUUGUUAGAUUUUAAUUCGAGAAAUUAUACCAUUAUUUCAGGUGGGAACGUGGAAGCUUGGAAAUGUUCUUCAAUUUAAACAGAUUUCUAUCCAUAGAUCUGUGAGUGGAAAAAUAUAAAUAUUUUUAAGUAUUUAUAAAUUAAAUAUAUUAUCAAAAUAUAUACAAUUAUGUGUUCGAUUAUAUGAUUAUUAUGGAACUCUCUUUUAUUAUAAUACAUGUGGAAUUUCAAAGAUUAGUUAUUGUACGUUUGUGACUUAGUAUAUGAGACAUGUGAUAUUGAGAUUUGUUUGGUAUGUGAGACGUGAGAUUGAGAUCGACCAGAAAAGUACCCGUGAUUAUGUACUUCUUCUAAUUCACAGAGAGGCGUUGGCCGUGUUCUAUCCUACACGAAGAGUCUUGACCGAAUAUUGGUCUCGACCGUGUACAAAUAGUUCACAGAAGGGCUUUGACCGUGUUCUAGAAUUAAUUACCAGAGGUCUUUGAGACCGGCUUUCGUUCACGGAGAGGGCCAAAGGCCCGUGGCGAAAGUGCUUAGUCUGAGGAGCGGAUUACAGAUUUUAGUCAGAGGGUACAUUUUUGGUGGAUCACUUGUGAUGUGAUGAGAUGAUGAUAUAGAUAUCAGCUGAUAACUAUAUCGUGAUUAAGAUAUGAUAUUUACAGUGUUAUAAGAAUGUCUCACUUUUAUUUAUAAUUGUAUGAGGCUAUUAUGUGAAAUAUUAAAUGAUAUGAACUUAAUGUUAGAUAAAAAUGUUUAAAGGAGAAAGCAUGAUUAUUUUUGAACUAUUCCACUCACGGAGCUGUCAACUCAUAUUUUUCUAAAAUUAUUCUUCCAGAUAAUAUUGGUCCUUGAUAGCUUGAGGAGCCUAGUGAUUUCAGAGUUAGAGCUACAUGAUAUAUUGAAUUAUAUGAGUCAAUUUGAUAAACCACAAAGUACAUUUUGGACCCAUCGCAUUAUGUUUUUAUAAACAUUUGAUUUUAUUGCAUUUUUUUUAAAUAAUUCAUAGUCAGCCUUAGUGAUAGAUUUGACAUCUAGUUAGCAUCUAUCAUCGGCGCACAUCACGUUUCGGGUCUACUUAAGGUGAUUUGAGACUGGUCGUGUCAGGGGGUGACAAUAGGAUUGUGGUUAUCGUGAAGAGAUAACAUUACUUGUGCUAGAAAUUAAGAGUACUUUCUCUUAAUUGUUUCGAUUGAGUAUUUGCUUUUGAUAAAUUAGCUUAUUUGUGCGAUAAUUACCGUGAAACCCUUUUUGAUUGGAUAUAUUUAUUUUUGUUGCAUUGUCAAUUUCGCUGAGUUAUUAAUUUUUUUAGAAUAUUAAGACCUUAUCCGUUCGAAUAUUCCCUUGAUCUAAGACUACGAGUCUUACAAAACCCUAGAAAUUUAGAACGGAAUAUAUUGUCUGUGACUCUAAAAAUACUUAGUAUGGUUUGACUGUGAUUUCUGCAUUUUUGGUUGUUUGUGAAAAUGAUAACUCGCAAUUUUGAUUUGGAGAUUUUUAACAGAAAAAAUGAUUUUUCAAUUUGGCAAUAAAAAAUUGAAUGGUAUUUUGGUCAAAUAAAGAUUUCAAAAGCCAUUGAAGGCAAAUUUUUCAGACUAUUUUUCAAAAGAACAAAAAGAAGAAGUCGAUGAGCUUGUUUAUACCUCAAUCAUUUUACACUUGUUUGACGUUAUUUUAAUAAAGGUAGGUGAACUAAAAACCACCAAAGAACUUUGGAAAAAUUCGAAGACCUGUAUUUGCUCAAAUUUACCUCAAACAAGCUUUACUUGCUUGAGCGUUUCUUCAGCUUUAAAAUAAAUCGUUCAAAGGAUCUCGAUGAUAAAUUAGAAGUAUUUAACAAAUUAGUUCAAGAUAUUGUUAACUGUGAGGAGACAGUGUUCGAAACCUAUAAGGUCAUAAUUUUGCUUAACUCAAUGCUUGACACGUAUAAGGAAGUUAAAAAUGCAAUUAAGUAUGGUUGGGACACUUUGAAGUCUGAAAUUGUCAUAGACUCAUUUAGAAGUAAGGAGAUGGAAAAUAGAUCUGAAAAAUGUGAUAAGAAAAGCGGUGAGAUACAUAUGAUAAGAGGUAGAACUCAGUUUAAGUAAAACAGUCAUGAUAGAUACCAAAGUAGUGGUGAGUCAAGUAGUAACUGAGGGAAAAAGAAGGCAAUGAUAGGUCUAGAUCAAAAUCUAGAAUGAAUGUUAGAAAAUGCUAUGGUUAUGGAAACACAUGGCAUUUUAUAAAGGAUUAUUAUAAGGAAAAAGGUAAGCAAAAGAUUAAGGAGAGAGAUGAGGUAAACGUAUUGUCUUUUAUUCCUGAUGUUGAUGACGAUGAGGUUUACAUGAUUACAAGUCCUGUCGCUUAUAAUGUUGAAUUAAAUCUAACUGCUAAUUCAUAUGAGUGAAUACUUGAUUCUGGUGUAUCUUUUCACGUGACAUCUGAAAGGGAUUGGUUUGAAAACUUGCAUGAAUUUAACACUGGGCAUGUUGUGCUGUGUGAUAACUUUGCCUAUACUAUUGCUGAAAUUUGCGAUAUUAAUAUAAAAUUUGACAUUGACUUUGUGUACACCUUGAAAGAUGUUAGAUAUAUUCCUGAACUACCUAGGAAUUUAAUUUCGAUAGGGAGGCUUGAAAAAGAUAAGUUUACUGGUAAAAUUGGAAAUUGAACGCUAAAGACGAUUAAGGGUGCACUAGUUUCUAUUAAGAGAACUAAGAAAAAUGAGAUUUAUAUCACUACCGGAGAAGCAAUUAGAGGUUUAAACUUCUCUAUUUUCUCAGCCAAAAUUGAUCACACAUAUACAUGGCAUAAUAGGAUUGCACAUCUAGGCAUUAAGGGACUUAAGCUUCUUAACGAAAAUGGUGCAUUUGGUAAUGACUGUGUGUCUAAUUUGUCAUUCUGUGAUCACUUGGUAAACAUCAUAGAAAUUCUUUCUCCACUAGUUUUCAUAAAACUAAAGGCAUACUUGAAUAUGUGUAUUUUGAUCUGUGGGGUACUGCUAGUAAUCCCACCUCGGGUGGAAAUAGGUAUUUAUUGUCAAUUAUCGAUAACUACAUGAGGAAAGUGUGGGUUUAUCUUCUAAAUGAUAAAUCUGAUACUUUUCACAACUUUAAUAACUGGAAAAGACAAAUAGAAAACAAACUGGCAAACAAAUUAAAUUCUUGAGAACAAAUAAUGGCCUAGAGUUUUGUAGCACUGAAUUUGAUAGUAUGUGCAAGGAAAAUGGAAUAACAAGGCAAAAAACUGUUCCUUACACUUUUCAACAAAAAGGGGUAGUGGAAAGGAUGGAUAAAACUAUACUUGAUAAAGUACAUUGCAUGAUGUUAAGUUAUAGUGUUCCAGAGUCAUUUUGGAGUGGAGUUAUUAUGACUGCUUGUUAUUUGAUUAAUUUGACUCCAUCAGCUACUUUAAAUGGUGAUAUUCCUCAUGAAAGGUGGUCUGGUAAGCUAAUUCAUUACUCCGUACUUAGAACAUUUGGCUGUGCUACUUUUUUUCUUCAAAGUGAGGAAAAGUUUGAUCCUAGAGGUAGAAAGUAUGUCUUUCUAUUAUACCCUGAGGGUGUUAAGGGUUAUAGGUUAUGGGUUAGAAGCCAAAAAGGAGUUAAGAUCAUCGUGAGUAGGGAUGUCACGUUUAACGAGGGUGAGAUGCCUUGCCUUAGGGAUAAACCCGAAUCUAUGAGUAAAACGAACCACGUGAAAAGAGACAUCAGUUUAAGGUGAGCUAGAAAAACUUAGCACAUCUGUUCCUACUAUUCCAAAUGAGGUAGAUACUCGGGUUUAGGAACCUGAGGUGGAGAUUAGAGAUGAAGUAGUGAUAGAAAAGCAUUUUGAGGAAGAAAAUUCUUUGGCAAACUACAAUUUAGUUAGGGAUACAGAGAGAAAACAAAUGAGAGAACCUAGGAGAUUCGGAUAUGAAUCUAAGUUAGCUUUCGCUCAAGUUAGGGAUUUAUCGAUUCAAGCUGGACUGCACAGGGCUUUCAAAGGAAAAUCAACCAAGAGUUUUGGCAAGGAAGUUGAAUCCAUAUAAACGAUAAAGAUUGCGAAGAAUUGGAUUUGAAGUUUGCAAGCAUGAUAUGUAUCUAUCUGGCUAAAAACGUUCUUGUAAAUAUUCAUGGGAUAUAUGGUACAAAGGAACAAUGGGAGAAGCUAAAAGAACUAUAUCAAACAAAAGCUUCUCAAAUCAGUUGUACCUAAAGAAACAAUUUCAUUCAUUGCGCAUGGAAGCAGAUACGAAAAUCUCAGACAAUCUGAGUGCUCUCAACGAGAUUGUUUUAGAACUUGAGGCUAUUGGAGUGAAGAUAGAUGAAGUGGAUAAGGCACUAUGGCUCAUCUAGUCUCUUCCGUCUACCUAUGAACAUAUAAGCCAAUCUUGAUGUAUAGGAAGGAAACUGUGAGUUUUGCAGAAGUGAAAAGCAACUUGAUCUUAGAAGCAAGAAUAUUAGGGGGACAGAAUAUUUUAUCUGACAAUGCGGUGCUUAUGAUUGGAAAGGGAAAGAAUGACAACUUUAUGAGGAAGAAAGCUACUUGUUGGAACUACGGUCAGACUGUCCAUGUGAACAAAAAUUGUCCAAAAGGUGAAGCAGGGUUGGCUAACUACUUGGGGUUUGACAAUGUGGCUCUACUGGUGGAAGAGAACGCGGAUGUGGUGCUGUAAAGUAAGAUGGGAACAUCCUCAUGACAUAUUGCCAGUUGCCAUGAUAGAGAAUGUGUUCUUACUAGCUUGAGUUAGCAUAUUUGCCCAUAGUAUUGACUGAUAUUUGAUGCAAGGUAUGUAGGUAUGUGGUGGUGUUGUGAUGUCGAUAGCUGAUGAGCUCUCUGGAAAAGUCAGUGGGAGAGUUGCACCAUAACUCAGUAGGGUUAUUGUUUCGACAUUAGCUGAUGGAAUGCUCGGAGUUCGUGGAUAAUUCUAAGUGGUUAUACUCAUAUGGUGGAGUAUGAGACCGUUAAAGUGUGUCAAAUACUUACCUAUAUUUUCCAAAGUAUUGUGAUUAAAAGUUGUAAAAGAGAUGACGAUUUUUUGACUCGUUUUCGACAAGGUGGAGAUUGUUGGGUAAUUGCACCAAAAGUUAAAAUUUGAAGGACUUCUAUUGCAAAUAAUAAAAGGUAAUGAUUAUAUGGAAGACUUCUAAUUAAACUUGAGAGAAGAUUCCUUGUAGUACUUAGUCUCCAAUUUACAGUCGAUUUUGGAGUCUUGCACAUGAAGGACUAUUUGUAUGAGUUGAAAUUAAACUUUUCUACUUUGUUAUUGAUCCUAUAAAUAGUCGAUACAUUUCUUUAUUUUGGAUGUGACCUGAGAAUUGAUCUGAGAGAAAAAUAUUGUGAACCUAGCAUUUUGAAACUUUUCGUACAUUGGGAAGAAAAGUAGAUGUGGUAAAGUUCGAGUUUAUUUUUCUUUGUAAUAUUUGGGGAUUGGGUUGAUGAGUGAAAUUCUAUAUGAUUGUAACAAUUUUUCAUAUAGUGAAAAGUUUUGACGAUCCUUUUAAUUUGUCCGUUAUAUUCUUUAUUUUUCUUAUUUGCUAAUAUUCUUCUAAACGACAAAAGAUCUUGCAGGUAAAUAGAAAUAAAGGAAAUUGCAUAAAAUUUCCCAAUAUGAGGUGGGUGGGAUAAUUGAGGAGGAAGAAGAUGAAAACGAAAGGUUUGGAAUCAUAGCUGCAAUUAUUUCUUUUUAAUUAUGGCCCCCUUCAAGUGGAUUUAACGACUACAUUAAUGGACUUGCACAUCAUGAGAUAUUCUGCACUUGAAAGGUCAUAUAGGGGAUUUUCACGAAUCUAAAACGAUAUGAUAUAUUUUGCAAUAUAGACAAAGGUUAGGGAUUUUGAGCCAAUAACCCCUAUUUUUUCGUUUGGUAAGACAAUUUUUUUUAAAUCUAUUUCUUUAUAAAAUUAGUGAAAAAGUAUUAUCUGUAGGUAAUCAUUUAUCAAUAUUUUUAAUUGUUUAAAAAAUUUAGGGAUAGAAAUAUUUUGUUUAAUUGUUAUUCUUUAUCUUACCAACGUAAUCAGCCAUAUAGUUAAAAUCACCUCGAACAAUCUGUGGACUGUUCAAUUGGAAAAUAUAAAGUAAAUCCUUGUACCGAUCAACUAGACAACAAUUACUACAAAUUUCAUUCUACUUCGUGAAACGAUUUAUAUUGAAAUUUGGCAACUCUAAGCCCACCCCUCCUUUUCUCCCUACUUAGGUGUGUCAAUUGUUCAAUUUCUAGGAACAGUCAUUGUCGGUCAAAUUGAUUCUUAUGCAUCAAAUUCACCUCAGGAGCUUUUUCCCCUUUACGAAAGUUCACUCGGCUCACGGUUGUUUUCUUCGAUCCCUUAUCUACAUAAUUUUUCUCCAUUUUUAUCUGUCAACUAUUUGAUAUUUUUUAUAGGUUGACUAGAAGAUAGAACACCUAGGAUAAAUUUCAAUCUUACACGCAGAAUAUGGAGUUUGGAAAUGUUAUAUUCGGAUAAUAUAUUACUGUUUGAUAUCAAAAUUAUUAUUUUCUGGUGCAGAUAACUUAGCCUCUAAGUUUCAAUUUCAGUUCUUCCUUUCUUUAUCUUCAAAUUCAAUCUUGAGUACAUAUUUUGUUGUAUAGUAUAAGUGCAUUUUGUGCACUUGAUUGGGUCAUAUUAUUAACUUUUAUGUUGUCAAAUUAUUGAAUUUUACUUAACUUUGAUUAAUUUUCUCUUGUUUCGGUUAUGGACCCAUUUCUAA
rnacentral:lncRNA from 1 species